rnacentral:lncRNA from 12 species
GGGGACAGGGGACACAGGGGACAUGGCUACAUCUCUGGGGACAUGGGGACAUCACUGGGGACAGCACUGGGGACAGGGGACACAGGGGACAUGGCUACAUCUCUGGGGACAUGGGGACAUCACUGGGGACAUCACCGGGGAUACUGGGGACACACGGUACCUUGGGGACAGCUUGGGGACACGGUGGGGACCUUGGGGACAAUGGGAAGAUUGGGGACACACAGGAGACAUUGAGGAGGUUGGGGACAAUAGGGACAUCACUGGGGACACUGGGGACACUGGGGCUGGGGGGAGGCGGGGGAGGUGUCCCCAGGGCGUGUCCCCAUGUCCCGUGUCCCUGUCCCCAGCCUGGCCUGCUGCUGCCACUCCUUCCACUACGUCAAGCGGCUGCUGGAGACGCUCUUCGUGCACCGCUUCUCGCACGGCACCAUGCCCCUGCGCAACAUCUUCAAGAACUGCACCUACUACUGGGGCUUUGCUGCGUGGAUGGCGUAUUACAUCAACCACCCGCUGUACACCCCGCCAGGUGAGUGCCGGUGUCACCUGUGUGUCACCUGUGUCACCUCUGUGUCACCUGUGUGUCACCUGUGUGUCACCUGUGUGUCACCUGUGUCACCUCUGUGUCACCUGUGUGUCACCUGUGUGUCACCUGUGUGUCACCUGUGUCACCUCUGUGUCACCUGUGUGUCACCUGUGUGUCACCUGUGUGUCACCUGUGUCACCUCUGUGUCACCUGUGUGUCACCUGUGUGUCACCUGUGUGUCACCUGUGUCACCUCUGUGUCACCUGUGUGUCACCUGUGUGUCACCUGUGUGUCACCUGUGUCACCUCUGUGUCACCUGUGUGUCACCUGUGUGUCACCUGUGUGUCACCUGUGUCACCUCUGUGUCACCUGUGUGUCACCUGUGUGUCACCUGUGUGUCACCUGUGUCACCUCUGUGUCACCUGUGUGUGACCUGUGUCACCUGUGUGUCACCUGUGUGUUAUCUGUGUGUCACCUGUGUGUCACCUGUGUCACCUCUGUGUCACCUAGGGGGGGGGGGGGGGGGGGGGGGGGGGGGGGGGGGGGGGGGGGGGGGGGGGGGGG